GCUCGGAUGGUGGAAUUGGCAGACACGCUGUCUUCAGGCGGCAGUGCCGGAAGGUGUAAGGGUUCGAAUCCCUUUUCGAGCA
rnacentral:tRNA from 1 species